rnacentral:piRNA from 1 species
UCGCUCUUCAGUGUGAGCAGUGAGCCAGC